rnacentral:rRNA from 1 species
UAGUCAUAUGCUUGUCUCAAAGACUAAGCCAUGCAUGUCUAAGUAUAAAUGGUAUACAGUGAAACUGCGAAUGGCUCAUUAAAACAGUUAUAGUUUAUUUGGUAAUCGAAAUUACAUGGAUAACCGUGGUAAUUCUAGAGCUAAUACAUGCUGUAAAGCCCGACUUUUUGAAGGGCCGUAUUUAUUAGAUAACAGACCAAUAUUCCUCGUGUCUAUUGUGGUGAAUCAUAGUAACUUAUCGGAUCGCAUGGGCUUCGCCCGCGACAAACCAUUCAAGUUUCUGCCCCAUCAGCUUUCGAUGGUAGUGUAUUGGACUACCAUGGCUUUUACGGGUAACGGAGGAUUAGGGUUCGAUUCCGGAGAGGGAGCCUGAGAAACGGCUACCACAUCUAAGGAAGGCAGCAGGCGCGUAAAUUACCCAAUUCUAAUUCAGAGAGGUAGUGACAAGAAAUAACGGGUCGGGACUAUGUCCCGGGACUGCAAUGAGAUGAAUUUACACCCCUUUUUGAGUAACAGGU